AAUGUGAUAGGCACUGAGAUAGUGCUGACUUGCACCUGUAGCAGAAUAAGUAAAAAAGACUUUCAUACCAAAAGUUUUUUGUUAGAGAUAUGGUUGACUAUAAAAUAGAAGAACCGAGAGUUUUAGAAGGGCAUGCUGAUUGUUGUGAUUCACGACCGAGAUGAGAUCGUGAAUGGAGCUUGGGAUGAUAUCGCCAUAUCUUAGCUUGAUUUUUUGCUUGUACCUACUUUAUUUCUGCUUGUAUCUGCCCUAUUUCUAUCAAUAAAGGAGUUACGUAAACAGAUUCAUAACAAACUGGUGUGGUUAGUCAGUACUAUCUAUCUUUUUAGUAUAUUUCUAUCCGUUUUAUUAUCUUGGUGUAUUUAAACAUACGGGAAUGUUAAUCUUUAUACUAAGUAAUUAAUGUCUCAAGAAGUUGCUUGACCUUUAUUUUGCAUUUGAACACAAUUUAGCUUUCUUUCUAGUCUACUCUUCACAAUGUUUCAUAGCUCAUCUUGUUUCACUACAUUAAAUUUGGUUGUAUAUGAACCUAUUUACAAUAUGAGGUCUAAGGUGUUUAUGUAGUCCCUGAAGUAAUUAAUCUUUUAUAGUUAGUGGGAAUAUUUAAAUAUAUAAAUAAAAACAAACAAAAGAUUGAGUCACGCAAACAAAAACAGAAAUGGGGAAAUUGCUCUGAGAUGGAUUUGCAACUGUUGGGUCGAACUCCACGAUCAAGUACACAAACUUGCACACUAAAUCGUAGUUAAUACACGUCGUGCAGGACACUUCCAUGCCAGGCUUGUGACAGUCUGCACCAGGUUUCAUAGCGUCCAUUGAGCGGAGAUAUAUUUGGUAACUGUGCUCAUGUCAAAUGCAACACCAUAUGAAACAUACUCUAGAUUUGGAAGAAUGAAGAGACAGUCUUGAGCUCAUGAUUCUCUGGAAAGGAUACGUUACCAGGUAGAAUCAAUAUGAUCGCCUCCAGACCUUUUUGCAGAAUUGAGAAAAAAUCAGUUCUUUUAAUCAGAAUUUCAAACCGGUUAGAAGUAAAAUAUGAUUCAGGGAGUUUUGUUUGUGUUUUCUUUUACCUGCAGUUUUUGCAGCAGUAGCUUCUUGAUAAACAUCUGUCACAAAAAUAAUCUCUGAAAGAUCAUCCACUCCCAAUGUUUCUGUAAUCUCCUUGUAACUCUUGCUUUCUUUCUUGUUUCUGCAGCCAAGACACGUAAGAUAGGUCAUGUGCAAGCAGCUGAUGGAAAUGAUAGGUCAUUUAUAUACCACUUGAAUAUAUGGUUUGUGUUCCCAAAGAGAAGCCUUUGGGCUAAUCGACUACCACUUGAAUAUAUGUAAACUACUCACAAUCAACACAUUAGACAUACAACCAUAAAAAGCACCAUUUCUCUAAUAACUUUACUACACGAACAUACCUUUAUUCCAGAAGAAUGCCAUUUCUCCAAAGCCUCUGGUACAUCCUCGAAAACAACAGAUUUCAGUUCAUGACAUUCGAAACCUGUUCUCCAUAUGUGACCCUGCAAUACAAAUAUUGACAUAAUUAUAUCUUACAUUAUCAAAAACAAUAAAACAAAACAGAAAGAGGGAAGCUUGUUUUGUUCUCUCACUUGUAAUUCCUUUAAAGCAGUGAUCUUUCCAUCUGCAGAGUUGAAGAUUUUAGAGCAUCGGCCUUUUAAAAAAUAAAAAAAAUUAAGAUCUAGUAUAAGAUGCUUGUCGAUACAAUACCUUCUCAUUGAAGAGAGGUAGAGUGAUUCCCAUGAAUUCACCAUGCUUCUUGAUGUUUUUCGAGUCCCAAUAACAGAGAAGCCGAGCAACAACGAAGUGGAAAGAUCUACUGAGUCGGAGGGCGUCGAAGGUUGAUUGCCCAAUAACAACAUCGGAAGAAGAUAUUUACGAAGAAUCUUGCAACAUGAAGAUUAACUGAGAGUUGUUGUGAUGAUUCAUCAAACUCUCAACUCUCUCCAAUUUAUAGCUUCAAGUGAAGGAAACGGAGAGGUCGUCAUCGUGAUUGGGUUAAAUGAGAAUAACAUUUAUUGGCGAAAUUAAGAGGAAUACGUUGAACGAAAUGGGAGGUUAAGAGUUAAAGGAAGAAAUCAUAGUGUUUGCAGGCAAAAGUAAGCUGAGACUGCAAGGUUGAAGACGGGAAGAGAAUGAUAACAAUCAAAACCUAAUCUAGUCAACACACAAAACGCAGAGUUUUGUUUAUUAACCAAACUUUUUAAUAUAACCAAACUGCCAAAAUAAUUGAACGAACGCUUGCGUAAACUUAAUUAUCAAACCAAACUGAAAGUAUGUGGGCCCCACAAAUUUUAAAAACCGUCAUGUGGACACACUUUCACAGGAGAUAAAACUUUGAUUGGGCUGCCAGAUGGAUUAAAUGGGUGCGAAGAGGACUUAAUUUUUUUAUUCCAAGCCCAUUUCGGGAUGACCUGUCAAAUUGAUUGGUUCUGAUUAUUUGUGUCUAUGUGGCAGGGCUUAGGAAGCUAAAAUUUAGUUCCUUUUAUAUAGUAGGAUUGACAAAAAAAAAAGUUUUGUCCUUGAUUUUUUUUACUAAAUUGUAAAUAUUAUUCGAAUUAUAACAUAGCUGAACUCGAAUCUGCUGCAGUUCGUUUCAUGGAGGUUGCAAAAAGUUUUAACUUUUUUUUAGGAAACACAAAAAUUAGAACCAAAACAAAAACUAUACAGAAGUUCUUAUAUAUAAAACAAAUCCAAAAUUGUUUUGUCUGCUUGCAUUAUCAUGUACGUCAAUAUGAUUUGUUAAAUUUGCAGUAAUUGAAUAGAAGCUCAAAUUGUAUGUAAAAAGAACUUGAUUCAUUAUGUGAUCAAAUUGUUUGUACACCAAAGUUCUAGUUCAAUCGAAAUGUUAUGUUGUAGAUAUGGAGUUUUCAACACAUAAAUAAGAUGUGUGGCAAGCAACUUUUUGUUGUUGGCAAGCAACACUACCACAUGGAAUUCAUGGGAGAUGAGUUUUCUAUGUUGUCUAUUAUAGUAUGUAUGGUGAUUAGAUAUUGGUACAUUUAAACCGGAUAUAAAUUGAUUUAUAAUAGUUGGUUUAGUCGGCUUUGUACAUUUCAGAUUAAUUAAUGAAAAAUGAAAUACUUUACUCAUAGGGUAUCAGAGCCAAAACUUUAGAUCAUGGACAAAUGUUUUGAACUAGAGUAGCCUGAUUUCUCCAUAUUAUUCUUUUUGUUUGUCAAGACCCACACAACGUUUUACCGAAUAUAGAAGCAGUGGAUAUCUUUUUAAUAACCACAAAAUAUUCCAAGAAAAUAUUUAUGAGGAGAAUCUCACAUUCCAGAGAAUUACGUCGAUGGUUGAGAACAAUUACCGAUAUCAUAGAAUUUUGAAAAACAGAUUAGUGGAACUAGAACGGCUCCAACUAUUUCAACUCAGUUUGGUUGCAAAGGAGAAUCUUACGUUAACUCUGAUUCACAUAGCAAAGGUACGAUCCUAGUCCAUCAAUCUGUAUUUGAUUUUUGAUUCAAAUUUCCAACUAUUUCAACUCAGCUUGCUUGAAUACUCGCAUAAGGAUCCUCUUUGUGAAGAACCUCGGUAGCUCAACCACUAGGAGUGGCUUAGAGCCAAGAAGUGUGUAUGUGAUCUAUUUAGAAAAAACAAGGUUACAGAGGAUAUGUUGGGGAAGCUAUUUUCUCCAUAUGAGAUAGUGGCUAGUAUUGGUAUGCAAAGAUCCCAAGGUUUUGCUUUUGUGCACUUUUUUCAUCCAGAUGGUGCCAAGAGAGCUGCAGAGUCUGAACAUGGUAAGUUGGUAACACCUCGUUUAAACUUUAGUACAUUGUCAUUAAGAACAUAGUCACUGAUUUAUUGCUUUCACUAUUAGGACCAAGAGAAUAUUUGUGAAGAGAAUCUCACAUUCCUGAGAGUCGCGUCGAUGGUUGAGAACGGCUACCGAUAUCAGAAAAUUUCGAAAAACAAAUUAGUGGUACAUGCUGGAUCAAGUGGGAGAGGGAGAACUAGAAUUGUAAUAGUUAGACUUUGAUGAUUCUGUUCAAAACGAGCUUGUAACUGAAUCUGAUUUCCGAUUUAUCGAAUGAAUUAAUAUAUAAUAUUUUUUAAAAAAAAUAUUCCAAGAGCUUGAAUUUUUUUAUAUCAUGAACACAUUCACAGCGAGAAGGCAUAAUCGAAAGUUCAAUGAUCCGAUGCUUCUUGGAUUCAAUGAGAAUUAAGUCCAAGAUCUCCUCAUAACUAUUUGACACCUUUAAUUUUUCUGUGGCAAUGUCUCUGUAAUAGAUUUUCUACUAUGUAGUAACUUCAACUUUCAACAAAAAUGUUUAUCAAUAAGUCUAAGAACAUAUAAACAAAAAAAAUCAUGUAUAGAUUAAUAUUUAGUUUGAACAAAUAACAGUGCAGUAACCACUACAAGGCUCAGUAUGGGGCCUGUGAGGACAAUCCUUCGGUCGAUAUUUUGCGAACAUCUGAUAGAAAUAACAGAAUAGUUUUGGACCAUAUCUCUAUCUGGACGGUAUUUUUUGUUUUUAUGUCAAGAUUCGGAAAAUCAAAGGAAAGUAUAUAACUCUUGAACCACAAAAUUGGUAUGUGGUCCAGUACUUUUUUUUGGCAAUCUCUACCAUAAUCGCUCCAUGCAGGAUUCUUCAGAUUAUCAUCAUCCGUCUGUGAAUAAACGCCAAACACAUGACUAAUAAAAUCUAUAAGAAAAUCAUUAUUCUCAGUUGUUACAAUCAGGAACAAAUGCUAGUAUACUUGGGGUUGAAAAAAUCUCAAUUAGACCCAUCUCUUUUCCUUUUCAUUUUACAUUUAAAUUUAAACAGAAAUCUAAGUAAAAUAACUGAAAAACCUAAGGACUUAAACAUAUUUACUAACCCAUGCCAUUACUAUUUGACCCAGAAUCCAAACCACCCGAAACCCAACCCAACUAACCUAAAUUAUUUUCUUCUUCUUCUUCUUCUUCUCAUUUCUUCUUCAUCAAUAUAGUUCUUACUCUUUAAAAUAAAAUCAAAAAAAUUCUUCAACUAUCCGCUAAUUUUCUAUUUCUUAUCCUAAAUCGAUCAACCCAUAGUCAUAUUUAAUCAAUUAUAACUUACCCAUAAUCAAAUUUCAUCUUUUAAAUACUAGAUUCAAGAUAAAGAAGAACGCAGAGUAUUACUAAUACAACUAGUACAACUCAAAUUAGUACAACUAGUACAACUAAAAAAAGUAUAACUAAUACAACUAAAAUAAGUAUAACUAGUACAAAUAGAUUUGAUAUAACUAAUAUAACUGGUACAAGUACAACUUGUAUAACUAAUAUAACUUUACAAUUAAUAUGAUGAUAUUUGGUUUUUGUUUUCAGCGUAUUAAUGAUGCUAUAGAAGAUGAUGAUGCAGAACCAAUAAAGAUGUUGUUGUACUAUUUAAGAAAAAAAUGCAUCUUCAUUCUUUUUGUUCUCGUAGCCAAAGAAUGCAGGUGCAAAGCCUAGAUUUGGGCAUUCAGGUACCCAUUUGGAUCAGAUUUAGUUCUGGUUCUUUAGAUACCAAAUUUUUUGAGUACAUACUAAUUGGGAUAUUUGAUUGUGGCGAGCGUUUGAGGAUGGCGGUUCUUUACUUUUUGGCCAGAGUUAUAAGAGGAUGGUCAAAAGGAGGAUACUUCAUUGAGCAUUUCAUUGCACAUAGAGUUGUAUUAGUUUUUAGUUAUACUGGUUUGUACAAAGUUGUACUAGUUUUUUAGUUAUACUAGUUUGCACAAAGUUGUACUAGUUUUUUAGUUAUACUGGUUUGUACGGAGUUGUACUUUGGCAGCGAAAUCUGAAAAUAUUAGUUGUACCAAAGAAAAAAUACCAUUACUUUAGUUGUACCACUUAUUUAUGUUUACAUGUCUUUGCCCGGAUACAAUAGAAUCAAUGACUAUUGUUAAAAUACUUGUCAUGUAUGUUUUGUAAAAAAUAUGUGGACAAACAAGUUAACAAACCUUAAAAGUAGAAGGUAGAUCAAACAAACUUAUGUGAUGGAGUUAGAAAUCCAAAAAAACAAAAAAAAAACAAUACAACACAAAAAGAAACUUAU